GAUGAACGCUGGCGGCGUGCCUAAUACAUGCAAGUCGAGCGAAUGGAUUAAGAGCUUGCUCUUAUGAAGUUAGCGACGGACGGGUGAGUAACACGUGGGUAACCUGCCCAUAAGACUGGGAUAACUCCGGGAAACCGGGGCUAAUACCGGACAACAUUUUGAACCGCAUGGUUCGAAAUUGAAAGGCGGCUUCGGCUGUCACUUAUGGAUGGACCCGCGUCGCAUUAGCUAGUUGGUGAGGUAACGGCUCACCAAGGCAACGAUGCGUAGCCGACCUGGGAGGGUGAUCGGCCACACUGGGACUGAGACACGGCCCAGACUCCUACGGGAGGCAGCAGUAGGGAAUCUUCCGCAAUGGACGAAAGUCUGACGGAGCAACGCCGCGUGAGUGAUGAAGGCUUUCGGGUCGUAAAACUCUGUUGUUAGGGAAGAACAAGUGCUAGUUAAAUAAGCUGGCACCUUGACGGUACCUAACCAGAAAGCCACGGCUAACUACGUGCCAGCCGCCGCGGUAA
rnacentral:rRNA from 1 species